CUUCUGGUCUCUUGCUCCCACCCAUAGAGAAUUCAAUUGUAUUUUUUUGUGGAACAUGGCUAUUUUGUCAAGGAAAAUCUGCUUCUGAAUUACCCUUGGCUAUUUAAAGAAUGGAUGCUCACCAUAUGCUUACACUGGACCUCUGUAUAUCUUUCCCUUAUGGAUAAUCUAGAAAAAUUAGGAAAAGAUCUAAGUUAAAGCAUUGGAGCAGCCAAAGUCUACAAUCCAGAAAUCUGAAGUUAGAUUCCCAGAGGUAGGUUUAUCACAUGAGGGUCACAGAAAACUGUUGAGUGCUAAAAUGGUAGCUAUAUGACGGAGUGAAAUAGUGCAAAUAAUCCUAUCAAAUGUGGAAAGAAGAAAGGCUAGAAGGAGACAAUGUAGAGGGCUUGAAUCAAUAUUAAUACCUGGGAAUGACAGCAGCAGACGAGCUAUUUAGUGUGAAACGAUUAAGGUUGACAUGGCUCAGUUUGAACAAUGUGUUGCACUGGUCAUAAAGCUAAGAGACAGAUCUGCAAACAAUGACAAGCCCUGUGUACAGUAACCACCAUCAUUAUUGACUGAGUGAUCAGAAGGUUUAAUUGGUGACUGAGGAAUCACUAAUUGGGCAUUAAUCUCUCAAUCAGUCAUGUUUGCUUAUAGAAAUGACUCUUUGGUAAGUUUCAUUUUCUUUCUUUUCUCACACAGCCAGGGAAGCUUUGACUUGUACAUUAGAAGACAAGUUUACUUUAGUAGUUGAUCUGGCUUUCGAAAGGACAAAGCCACUGAUUCCACAAUUAGAAAGGAGUAAAAUGUCAAGAACCCUGGUAAAGUAAUACCUUUCUUUAAACGGACAGUGAGAAAUGAACAAGUGAGACUGAACCCUUUACUGAGAGCAAAUUUAAUUGGCAGGGGUCAGGGAAUUUCACAAUGAUAUAGAGUUCCUGAAGGAUGCAAAAAAAAAAAAAAAGUAUUCUGAAGAGGAGGAAAAAACUGCCUAAAGUAGGUCUGGUGAUGUCAAUGUCAAUCUUCUCCUUCACAAUCUUGCCUGGGGCUGGUUCUGCCAGGACUAAAGAGACAAUGACAUCUGUACGGUAUAUUCAUAGUACUGUAGCAUUUUAUUGUACACCUUGGUAAAAAUAAAGAAAUUUUUGGCUUCUUUCUUAAGAAAAAGAUGAGGGAGAAACUAAAUUAUGUGUUUGUUGUUCUAAAAUGCAUAUUGCUCUACAUUCAGUAAAUGCAAAAUAAGUGCUCAUUAAGUGAAAUCUAUACUAAAAUUUUUAAACAAUUCUCAAAAGUGGAAAAAUUAAUUUGCUUACAGACCCAGUAGUUGAAGUUCCAAUAGUUCUUAAAUAGCCUAAAAUAGUUUUGCUCUUAAUAACAGAGCUCUGGGUUUACGAAAUAUGUUUAUUUGCUAGGGAAAAGUUUUCAAUACCUAUGUUUCAGGAAGGGUGUAUUGGUUUUAUAUGUAUCUUUACAUUUUUCUCUUUAGGAUAUAUUUCCAAAACACGAUUUAUAUUGUGAACUGCAUCAUGUAUGAACUGUUUCUAGACUACUUGAAAAUGUACCAAAAUAAAACAUUCUAAUCUGUACAAAAUCAAUGUCUUGAAACUGAAUCCAUUUCUAAAAUAUUACACACGUGACUGGUAAACAUGAUUAUGAAUAUCAUCAUAUUUUCCAGGUUAAUCUGAAUUAGCUGCAAAGAUAAUAAUAGAUUCAACCUUGGAAAACUAUGCAGAUUCCAGUUUAAAGUGCUGUGCUACUUAACAAAGAUGUACAGUUCUUUAUAUACCAUCUAUGCUAAAAAUCGCAGGUAUUGAAAACUUUUUCCCAUCAAGUAAUAUACAUUCUAAAAUGCAUAUUGCUGUAUGUUCAGUAAGUGCAAAAUAAACUCUCAUUAGCUGAAAUCUAUUCCAGUUUUUUAAACUAAUUCUUAAAUGUGGAAAAUGUAAAAAAUGUGUUCUAUCAUCAAAUAUUAUUUUUCAUUAUGUAUUUCAACACAUAAUUAAGUUAGCUAUUGUUUCACUUGUAUUGAAAACCUAGAAUCUGAAACCAGCGACUUGUAUACAGAGUUAUUUCUCAGGCUUUUGUGUCUUCGGUGAUCCCGGCUUUUAAGUCAUUCACUUUCAAUUUCUGUAAAGCUGUUCACAAAAGCUUUACUGGGAGUUUGUUUGUUGCUAAGCUUCAUCCAUGUUACGGUGCAUUAUUAAAGUUCAUUUAUUUUGCCUACUAUAGAACAUGCCAACGUGAGAAUGACACACGGUUUAUUCAUCUAGUUUGCCACAGGGGGUGUUCAAAUUAUUUCCAGGUGUCUGAUGUUAUGAUAUUCUCAUGCAGGUCUCUGGUGGUACCAUGUUUUAAGAGUUUCUCUUGGGUGCAUAUCUCAGCGUAGAAUUCUGGGAUAUAGAGCAUAUAUAUGCUCAACUUUAGAAGGAAAUAGGCAACAGCAACUUUCUUCAUAGCUUCUUUCACCAAGUUAAACCUCCACUUUUUCAAGACUAAUCAAGUCACUACUAAUUAAACCUAUUAUUCUUUUCACUGUUAGGCACUUUGCUUAACCCAAUAAUCUCAGAAUUGUUAGGGAACACAAAAAUACUGUAACAUCUGUGACAAUGCAGUUUUCCUAAUAAAAUAUUUUUAUUUUUUCAUGUGCUUUAAACUGUUUGUUUUGUCAAAGCAGAGAGUUUCCUGACUUAGAUGUUGUUAGGGACUUGUCUGAAAUUGUGACUUCAGAAUUAAUUCCUGUUCUCACUAGUAUCCCGGUUAGUCAAAUCAGACACUUUGUAUGAGAAAAAGUUUCACUUCAUUUUUUUCAAAUCAAAAGCACUUGUUAAUAUGCACUUGAGGAAUAUAAAAAACAAAAAUGCCUUCUAGAACAUAUGUAGUAAAAUAAAUUAUUAAAAUUAGUUCAAUAAAAUUAAAAUGAUGUGAACUUAAAAUAAUUAAUUUUAAGUUGGGUAAAUUUCAUGUAAUACCUCAUUAUUUAAUAUGGAAUAAUUUAAUGAAGCAAAAAGCAAAAAUUAUAGACUAAGAAUAUAAGCACAUGAUAAUAUAUUAAUCUUUCAGAAAAUAUCUUCAUGCAUGUGUUCAACUCUGACAUUCAGUUUCUGGAAAAAAUUAAAUAAGAAUACCCCCCUUACUUUAAUUAGACAUAAUGAUUUUAAAAAUUGUAUAUUUACAGGAAGGAAUGGGACAUGCUACUAUAAAAUAAUUAAUCCAACAUUUACCAUUAAAAUUUCAUUUGUUGAUAGGAAGUAGAAUAUAUUUC
rnacentral:lncRNA from 1 species